GCUGUUUAUUUGGAUGUAAAUAGAAUCUGCUUAAUGGGACAAGGGUUUAAUAGAACUUCUUGCCUUGCUGGCAAAUGAUAUUUUAUAAGCUCUCAGGACAGCUGUUAUCUCACAAUAGGUAUUGUACAAUUCAAACACACAGAACAUAUUAAUUUGUUAUUUGUAUGAUAUCAAUAAUAGAUAAAUUUGACAAAGUUAGUUACAUUGUUGCUAUGCAAUUCACAACUUUAAAUAUUCAUGCCUAGUUAGUGUUCUACAGUAGUUCACACAUAGAAUAGAACAGAAGUAACUAAGCAUUUGAUAAGCCCUAUACACUAUAAAAGUCAUUCAUUCAUGUACCUAGAUAAUUCUAAAGCUUAGUUAUCUUUGUUCUACUCUAUGCUUCAGUACACUAGAACAAUGAUACUUAAGGCUGCAUUCCAGUUACGCG